AAUAUCCUUUUAACAAAUUAUGCGUAUUUAAGGAGAUAGGGCUGCGCAUGCGCAGAACGUAUCUCCUUACCUUUGCACUUUUUGGUAAGAAGAUGUUAACGAAAGUUGUUCGUCUUGAUCAGGGCUACAACUUUGCUUAAUAUCCUUUUAACAAAUUAUGCGUAUUUAAGGAGAUAGGGCUGCGCAUGCGCAGAACGUAUCUCCUUAACUUUGCACUUUUUGGUAAGAAGAUGUU
rnacentral:miRNA from 1 species